CAGUCGCCGCGGGAAUACAGAGGGUGCGAGCUUUAAUCGGAUUUACUGGGCGUAAAGCGUGCGUAGGCGGCUUUUUAAGUCGGAUGUGAAAUCCCUGAGCUUAACUUAGGAAUUGCAUUCGAUACUGGGAAGCUAGAGUAUGGGAGAGGAUGGUAGAAUUCCAGGUGUAGCGGUGAAAUGCGUAGAGAUCUGGAGGAAUACCGAUGGCGAAGGCAGCCAUCUGGCCUAAUACUGACGCUGAGGUACGAAAGCAUGGGGAGCAAACAGGAUUAGAUACCCCCGUAGUCCCUGUCUCUUAUAC
rnacentral:rRNA from 1 species